AACGAACGCUGGCGGCAGGCCUAACACAUGCAAGUCGAACGCCGUAGCAAUUCGGAGUGGCAGACGGGUGAGUAACACGUGGGAACGUACCCUUUGGUUUGGAAUAACUCAGGGAAACUUGAGCUAAUACCGGAUACGUUCGAGAGGAGAAAGAUUUAUUGCCGAAGGAUCGGCCCGCGUUUGAUUAGCUUGUUGGUGAGGUAACGGCUCACCAAGGCGACGAUCAGUAGCUGGUUUGAGAGGAUGAUCAGCCACAUUGGGACUGAGACACGGCCCCAACUCCUUCGGGAGGCAGCAGUGGGGAAUAUUGGACAAUGGGGGCAACCCUGAUCCAGCCAUGCCGCGUGAGUGAUGAAGGCCUUAGGGUUGUAAAGCUUUUUUUCCUGGGAAGAUAAUGACGGUACCAGGAGAAUAAGCCCCGGCUAACUUCGUG
rnacentral:rRNA from 1 species